UGCUGCUUCGCUGACGAGUGGCGGACGGGUGAGUAAUGUCUGGGAAACUGCCUGAUGGAGGGGGAUAACUACUGGAAACGGUGGCUAAUACCGCAUAACGUCGCAAGACCAAAGAGGGGGACCUUCGGGCCUCUUGCCAUCAGAUGUGCCCAGAUGGGAUUAGCUWGUUGGUGAGGUAACGGCUCACCAAGGCGACGAUCCCUAGCUGGUCUGAGAGGAUGACCAGCCACACUGGAACUGAGACACGGUCCAGACUCCUACGGGAGGCAGCAGUGGGGAAUAUUGCACAAUGGGCGCAAGCCUGAUGCAGCCAUGCCGCGUGUAUGAAGAAGGCCUUCGGGUUGUAAAGUACUUUCAGCGGGGAGGAAGGUGUUGUGGUUAAUAACCRCAGCAAUUGACGUUACCCGCAGAAGAAGCACCGGCUAACUCCGU
rnacentral:rRNA from 1 species